GACGAACCGAGCGAACGUUGUUCGGAAUCACUGGGCUUAAAGGGUGCGUAGGCGGGCUGCCAAGUUUGGGGUGAAAUCCUCCGGCUCAACCGGGGAAGUGCCUCGAAUACUGGCGGUCUAGAGGGAGGUAGGGGCGUGCGGAACUAACGGUGGAGCGGUGAAAUGCGUUGAUAUCGUUAGGAACUCCGGUGGCGAAGGCGGCACGCUAGACCUCUUCUGACGCUGAGGCACGAAAGCCAGGGGAGCGAACGGG
rnacentral:rRNA from 1 species